GAAAGAAGAGUCAUGUGCCUUUCAGCUUUGAAAUACCUCCUGGUUUCUUUGUGCUUCGUGGCUUUUACAGAGUGAAGCCACCACAGGAACAAACACUGGCUGCAACGUGUUGGUGUCAGGUUUUCACACAAGUGUGAUGUCAGCAGGGCAGCUGGAGGAGGUUCCAUGAAGCUUGGACCUAGCAGUUGAAAGAGACUUAGGUCACUGGAGAGUAAACACCCUAAAGAUCUGGACUGGCACUUUGCGGAUUUCCAUUUGACUUCGGUGGACUUUGAAGAUGGGUCACCACUCUCAUUCAGAUGAAAUUCUUUGGAGAGAACUUUAUUUUCAAAGUAAGGAUUUUCAUCAAAAUAAAAAUCUAUUCUGU
rnacentral:lncRNA from 1 species